UCAUUAUUAUCCGCAGACGGGACAUCAUCAUCACCAUCAUAAUCAUUAUCGACCGCAGCGGCUGUCCCGCAAUGAACUGAAGCAGUUGGACGAGAAGGAGUUAAUAUUUGAACUGGUAAAGGACAUCUGCAAUGAAUUGGAAGUUCGCAGCUUAUGCCAUAAGAUUCU